rnacentral:rRNA from 1 species
AUACGGAGGGUGCAAGCGUUACUCUGAAUCACUGGGCGUAAAGCGCGCGCAGGCGGCUAUUUAAGUUGGAUGUGAAAGCCUACGGCUCAACCGUAGAACUGCAUCCAAAACUAUUUAGCUAGAGUGUAGGAGAGGAAGAUGGAAUUAGUUGUGUAGGGGUAAAAUCCGUAGAGAUAACUAGGAAUACCAAAAGCGAAGGCAAUCUUCUGAAACACUACUGACGCUGAGGCGCGAAAGAGUGGGGAGAAAACAGGAUUAGAUACCCUAGUAGUCC